CGGGGUGCUUGGGACAUUCACUUUGCACGUGCAAUGAAUUCAUAUCCUAUACUGUAGGUAGAUUUCCAUAUCAAUUUCACGUGCUUUCAAUAAUUCUUUAGACGUUUCAGUUCGUUACAGUCUCAAAAGGUCUCGGUUAUCUUUCAGUCUACCCCCAAGACCUAACUUAUUGUUUUUUCCCUGGCCCGGCAUGCUCUCGGCACCAUCCCUCCAAUUCUGGCCCAAGGCAACGCACGAGCGCUGCCUGCAUCUAGUAUUGAAAAGACUUCGCUUCGCUUGCUCGCUCGUAACAACCUAUGUAGGCUGUCGCCAUUUAUUGUGGCACAAAUGUAAAUGCACAGAGAAACCACCUGCUUUAUUACAAAGAAUUUGAGAAAUCAAGCGAUUACACCCCAAAUCGCUUCCUCCAGCCGGAGGCUGUACCCUCGAAGAACCUUGGUACGUCACCUGCGACGGCGACGUCACCUGCGAGUUCCGCGGAACCCCUGACGCCGUCACCAGCUGGACCAUCCGCGGCACUGGACCAUCCAGCGACGGCCGUGACGCCGUCACCAGCUGGACCAUCCGCGGCACUGGACCAUCCAGCGACGGCCGUGACGCCGUCACCAGCUGAACCAUCCGCGGCCCUGGACCAUCCAGCGACGGCCGUGACGCCGUCACCAGCUGGACCAUCCGCGGCACUGGACCAUCCAGCGACGGCCGUGGCGUCGACUCUGCCGGUGCCGGAGAGGUCGGCGACGUCACCUGCGCCGCUGGUGUCAACACCGCAUGGACAUCAGCUGCGAGCUGGUAAACGGCGGUGGAGUGGAAGCAGAGCGCGCAAGCCACCAGCCAGCUGACUCAGAGCCCAGGGGGCGUUCGCCACCAACAUCCGCACGGCGCAGCUGCAGAGGUGAUUUCUGCCAUGGAGCAGCAUCCGCGGCUCCAUGACAUCAUCCUUCCAUCAUUCUCCAUCAUCAUUUCCGGAGCUCACCCGACGGCGGAGCUGGCUUAGGUCGGCGUUUGAGGCGCGGCGGGGGGCAACGUCUCUGUGCCCUGCUCCGGGUCCCCGCCGCCUGCGGUCUCUUCUGCUGCCGCCACUGAGGGGAACGGCUCUUCUUUGAAGACAUCAUCGGUCGACGGUGAUGCUGGCGGGCCGGUGGCGGCGUGCCCCGUCGGCAGCGCGCCUGGGGAGGACGCUGGUGACGACGAAUCUUCAUCGCCGUCGGCACCGGUCGCGAGCGAGUCGCUGUUUAGUUGGCCUGCUACUGUGCCAAAAAGUGCGACUGUGGCCAGACUGGUAUACGAUUUGUCAGUGCUUACGCCCCUCUUGCCGUGCCGGCCGUGCUCUUUGCCGUCUAUUGGGGAUGCGUUAGAGUUAUCGUUUUGGGGUUUAUACCGGUAUCAAGAUUGAUUUAAAAGAUGGAUUUCAUCACAUUUCUCGCGCACGUUCCACACGUCCUUUUGGUGUUUUGUAUGAUGGUAAAACGUGCUUAUACCUUUUCUCUGUUACCAAUGGGCCCUAUUAGGUACUGCAUCUCCUGCAUUAUUAGGUAGAGAUGCAGUACCAUUAUUAGGUACUGCAUUAUUAGGUACUGAAGGAGAUGCAGUUAGGUACUGCAUCUCCUUCGGAGAUGCAGUACCUAACAGAUGCUUUCAGUGAACUUGUAGAGUCGAGAUUUAACGUCAGGUGUUUGGCGUAUUUAGAUGAUUUUCUUUUCAUGUCCAAGGACGCUGAAUGGUAUCGCUGCGUUUCUGACUAGUGUUGGGUUGUGUAUUAAUUUCAAUAAAUUAGUUCUCGUUCCGUU
rnacentral:misc_RNA from 1 species